rnacentral:rRNA from 1 species
UUUCAACAAUGGAUCUCUUGGCUCUCACAUCGAUGAAGAACGCAGCGAAAUGCGAUAAGUAAUGUGAAUUGCAGAAUUCAGUGAAUCAUCGAAUGUUUGAACGCAUCUUGCGCUCCUUGGUAUUCCUUGGAGCAUGCCUGUUUGAGUGUCGUCAUUAAAUU